AGGAUAAACUUUAUUUCCCAGUGCAAGUGGACAUUAAAUGACUGCACUCGUCUUCUGCAGACAGAUGAUGCUGGGCCUGCUGUGUUGGAAUCCACAUUAACAAGCCAGUUUAUCUUACCAGGCUCCACUGGCUUGGACUGGUGCUAGAGGUCCACCUCACUUUUCCAUCUCUCCAGAGCAACUGUCGUUCCUAAAGUCAUGUGGAUUUACAGUGUCACAGACUGCAGAUAUUCUGCAUGUUUCUCCAGCUACAGUCAAACGACGUUUCAGAAGAGGAGAUGGAUAUUUCCUUCGAGGAGUUGCUGGUGUUUGUGACAGGGGCUGAUUCUGUCCCCCCUCUUGGGUUCCCGCAGAAAUGCCAGCUUGACUUCUAUAAUCAGGAGGAUGGGAGCUGCCGCAUUCCUUAUUCAUCAACAUGUAGCCUUUGCCUCUUCCUUCCGAGAGGGGUUACAGAAGAAGAGGAGUUCAGAAGACUUAUGUUCCUUGCCCUGAAAGGGUCUCUUGGUUUUGGGAAGGUGUGAGGUAGAACAAAGUGUUCAUUUCAUGAGAAGUAGGCAUUGGAUUGUUUACACCAAUAAAAU